rnacentral:tRNA from 1 species
UAAGCCGUGGCCUACUGGUUAGGGCUUUGGGCUUGUAACCGAAAGGUUUAUUGUGAAUGUUGCGGUUCGAUCCCCGACCCAG